UACGUAGGGCGCAAGCGUUAUCCGGAAUUAUUGGGCGUAAAGAGCGUGUAGGCGGCCUGAAAGGUCAGCUGUGAAAAACUCGAGGCUUAACCUCGAGACGUCGGUUGAAACCAUCUGGCUAGAGUCCGGAAGAGGAGUGUGGAAUUCCCGGUGUAGCGGUGAAAAUGCGCAGAUAUCGGGAAGAACACCCGUGGCGAAGGCGGCACUCUGGGACGGUACUGACGCUGAGGCGCGAAAAGCGUGGGGAGCAAACAGG
rnacentral:rRNA from 1 species